GCGGAUGCUCAGCGCCUCAGCGGCCAGAUCGUCUUCCCUUCCCCCCUACCCUGUGCGUGUCUGCUCCCUCUCCUCUGGCUGCCGCUCUCCACAGUCCUCGGGCUCCAAGCCUUGCGUAAACCCCGACCCCCACGCGCAUAGAUGAAGACUAGGUCGCAGACGUCGCCGAAGCCUCUCAAGACGGUGGCGAUGGCUCCCAGGCCGAGCAGCACCAAGCGGAAGCCGAGGCCCAAGCCGGCGGGGAAGGGCGACCCCCGCGCACCCAAGAAGCCACCCACCGCCUUCUUCUACUUCAUGGAGGAUUUUCGCAAGAUCUAUAAGCAAGAAAAACCAAGUGUAAAAUCAAUGCAGGAAAUAGGGAAGGCAUGUGGCGAAAAAUGGAAUACAAUGACAUUUGAGGUCAGCAUUUUCUCCUUGCAGCCUGAUAGUCGUGUUCCAUUAGUUAUUUACCACCUUAUGCUGCCUGCUGAUGUAAAUUGCUUGAUUCCACAAUGGUGAUGCAAAUUUGACCACGGUGCACUGGAUAUGCAGUUUGGGUUUUGCCUAUACUUCUUUUUUUUCCUGAUCAACCAUUUUAUGUGGGAAACAAUAUAUAGGGAUCAGAAGGUCUUUAUAUUAUGCUUUAUUUGGUUAAUGUCCAGUUCAAACUUCAAAGAACAUGAGCUAUUGCCACCCUUUUAUUCUAAUGGUGAGGAAGCGAUUUCCCUUGGGCCCAUGGCCCAUUUCUUAUUUAAGUUCUUUCACAAGUUUAUACUUUAGAGAGUUUGAAGGGACAAUUGGCAUGGCUGUGUUAACUAUGAAUUUUUCUGACCUACAUGCUCAAAAAGUCAAAAUGAAGUUUAUGAGUACUGUAGCUUUGGUUCAUUUGGAUUAUUCUACAUCAGUGCACAUUUGCUAUUAUUUCGUAUGUUACAUUAAGUGUAUAGUUGCUACUUACUGUCCCAGUAUUUGAGCUCCCCACUUAUGAGCUGCUUUAGGGGUGUUCACUGACAGUUUUACCAGUUUGAUCAAAGCAGAUCAAUACUCAUAAUUAACUUGGUGUGUACGCUGCUCUGUCGGUACUGGGCAGCUAGGUUGCUUAGCAUGUAUGUUUGAAUGGUUUCAACCGUUUUGGAACAUCUUCACCCCUAGUACAUCUUCACUCAACCUUGGUUUGGUGCCCACGGGCCAUUCUAGCUACUCUUACUGUGCAUGGUAGCAAACGAUUCGAAACACGAAAACAGUAGGAUUUUUGCAAAUAUAAAGAUAAACUAUGGAUUCUUUAAAUUGUAAAUACUGCACGCUUGUGCCUUCUAUAUGAUUAUGAAAUUUGACUUAUAGAAACAAUAGUUUUCACUUAAUUCAUUUCACAGGAAAAGGUCAAGUAUUAUGAUAUAGCUACUGAGAAACGUGCAGAAUUUGAGAAGGCGAUGAUUGAAUAUAACAAGAAAAAGGAAAGCUGAACAUUUGUCUGUUCCAAAUUCCCGAUGGUUCACUGUAACUGGAUGAAUCAAUCAGCUGUAUAUUACAGAACUGUGAUUUUUAGUGGAAUUUAUAAAUACCACUAGUUGGAACCGUCAGCUCACGCAGAUAUGUAUCUUUUGUAGUCGACUUGCACAUUUUGAUGACACCGAGUCUUCUACCCGGUGUUUUUCAUCUGGAGAUAAUUUGUGUUUCGUGCUAACUGCUCGUUAAAUUGCUUAUUAUAGAGUUGUAUGUAUGAUUGUGUA